rnacentral:rRNA from 1 species
UACGGAGGGUGCGAGCGUUGUCCGGAAUCAUUGGGCGUAAAGGGCGCGUAGGUGGCCCCUCAAGCGUGCGGUGAAAGUCAGGGGCUCAACCCCUGAUCGGCCGUGCGAACUGGGGAGCUUGAGCACUGUAGAGGCAGGCGGAAUUCCGGGUGUAGCGGUGGAAUGCGUAGAGAUCCGGAAGAACACCGGUGGCGAAGGCGGCCCGCUGGGCAACUGCUGACACUGAGGCGCGACAGCGUGGGGAGCAAACAGG